UGUUCAAUUCCCAUUAAAUAGAAUGGCAUAGGAAAAUGGUGCCUCUUCUAUUAAAUGGCAAAUUCAAGGUUUCCUUUUGGAAUUUAUAUAUUUGCUACUAUUUUCAAGCCAUGGAAUCUUUUUGGGUGCAAGCAUUAACUCAGCCAGGAUGAUUGGUAAAGCAGCGUUGCUUCCACUUCAUAUGGUCUUUGUAAGGAGAUAGAGCCAGUGUGGUAUAAUGUAGUGCUUCUAAAGCUAUCUGCUAUAGGGGAAUCACACUCAACGUGCCAGGGAUCUGCAUUUUAUUUGUGCUCAUUGGUGCAAUUGUUUCUUUCUUUCCUGAGAACUAUCCAGAGACUGGCACCUGAUGGCUUGUAGUUUGACACCAGUCCAGAGACCAACACUUUGAGUAGCCCUGAUGUUGAACUAGAACUUCAAGAGACCUAUAGUUUGCUCAGCCAGGAAACCCAGUGGGUUACCUUGGGUUACAGAAGAGCUCCUUGAACUGAGAGGCAUCCUGCAACAUCCGCCUGGCCAUUUGCCUCCUCUCCUCACUGUGCCGGCACACCAUCCGUUUCUGCAAUAAGGCCCUGAGGUUCCCAGCAGUUGUAUACCUUCAGAUCUACCAGCAUCUCCUCCAGUAGCAUCCGACAAGCCUUCUUUUGGGCUUUCUCCAGGGCUAUGUCCAAGGACGGCGGCACCUUUGUAGGCUCAAGUGAUGAUGCCCCAUCUGUAUACAGAGCUGGGAUGGAGGUGCUGCCAAUGGAAAGAAAAACAGUGAGGAAGAAUACAUGGGAAGAACUGACCUGCCCAGAAAGAUCUCCAGCUCCUUCAGAGUCAUGUUGCACAUCUUUUCCCGGAGAGUAUCAGAGAUGAUGGAUGCUACCCGGAUGUUUUCAUCCAGCAUCUGAGAUAAGACAGAAAAGAAAGAAAAGCAUUUGUGUGAAUGAGGUCAGACUUGUUCCCGAGUCUUGUUCCUGAAUCUUAAAGACUAUAUUGUGUAGAAAUUUGAUAGCUCUCCUUCUAUACUGUGGGAUGGGGCCUCCUCUCCUAUUAGACUUGUUCUGACCUU